rnacentral:rRNA from 1 species
GAUGAACGCUGGCGGCGUGCUUAACACAUGCAAGUCGAACGAUGAAGCCCAGCUUGCUGGGUGGAUUAGUGGCGAACGGGUGAGUAACACGUGAGUAACCUGCCCUUAACUCUGGGAUAAGCCUGGGAAACUGGGUCUAAUACCGGAUAGGAGCGUCCACCGCAUGGUGGGUGUUGGAAAGAUUUAUCGGUUUUGGAUGGACUCGCGGCCUAUCAGCUUGUUGGUGAGGUAAUGGCUCACCAAGGCGACGACGGGUAGCCGGCCUGAGAGGGUGACCGGCCACACUGGGACUAAGAAACGGCCCAGACUCCUACGGGAGGCAGCAGUGGGGAAUAUUGCACAAUGGGAGCAAGCCUGAUGCAGCGACGCGGCGUGAGGGAUGACGGCCUUCGGGUUGUAAACCUCUUUCAGUAGGGAAGAAGCGAAAGUGACGGUACCUGCAGAAGAAGCACCGGCUAACUACGUG